ensembl:snRNA Gm26403 predicted gene, 26403
GUCCUCCCAACAGCACAGCACAUAUUUUAUAAUUGGAACGACACAGAGAUUAGUGUAGCCCUUGCACAAGGAUGACAUACUAGUUGAAGCAAAAACUAAACUGCUU